rnacentral:rRNA from 1 species
CCUACGGGUGGCAGCAGUGAGGAAUAUUGGUCAAUGGUCGGGAGACUGAACCAGCCAAGCCGCGUGAGGGAGGAAGGUACAGAGUAUCGUAAACCUCUUUUGUCAGGGAAUAAAGGGGGGGACGUGUCCCCGGAUGAGUGUACCUGAAGAAAAAGCAUCGGCUAACUCCGUGCCAGCAGCCGCGGUAAUACGGAGGAUGCGAGCGUUAUCCGGAUUUAUUGGGUUAAAGGGGUGGUCAGACGGUCUGUUAAGUCAGCGGUAAACGGCAGGGGCUCAACCCAGCCCCGCCGUUGAAACUGGCAGCCUCGAGUAGGAGAGAAGUAGGCGGAAUGCGCGGUGUAGCGGUGAAAUGCAUAGAUAUCGCGCAGAACUCCGAUUGCGAAGGCAGCAUGCCGGCUCCACACUGACGCUGAGGCACGAAAGCGUGGGUAUCGAACAGGAUUAGAUACCCGAGUAGUC